GGCCCCAUCGUCUAAUGGUCAGGACGCGGGCUUUUCAAGCCUGCAAUCCGGGUUCAAUUCCCGGUGGGGUCA
rnacentral:tRNA from 1 species